rnacentral:rRNA from 1 species
GAUGAACGCUAGCUACAGGCUUAACACAUGCAAGUCGAGGGGCAUCACGAUUGAAGUUUACUUUAAUUGGUGGCGACCGGCGCACGGGUGAGUAACACGUAUCCAACAUUCCGUUCACUCGGGGAUAGCCUUUCGAAAGAAAGAUUAAUACCCGAUAUCAUAUACGAAUCGCAUGAUUUUUAUAUGAAAGCAUUCCGGUGUGCGAUGGGGAUGAGUUGCAUUAGAUUGUUGGUGAGGUAAUGGCUCACCAAGUCUUCGAUGAAUAGGGGUUCUGAGAGGAAGGUCCCCCACACUGGUACUGAGACACGGACCAGACUCCUACGGGAGGCAGCAGUGAGGAAUAUUGGUCAAUGGACGGAAGUCUGAACCAGCCACGUAGCGUGAAGGAUGACCGCCCUAUGGGUCGUAAACUUCUUUUAUUUGGGACUAAAUUGAAGGACGUGUUCCUUUUUUGCAUGUACCAUUUGAAUCAGCAUCGGCUAACUCCGUGCCAGCCGCCGCAGUAA